CAAGGAACCAAAACCUAUCUACGCCCGUAAAAAUGGUGAGCCGGAAACAUGAAAAACCCUCAAAGACCAACUCCUCCCUGAAAACCCCUAAAACCCACACCAAGGUCAAGAGUAAAAAGAACCAGCCGCCCAGCAUCAAGGCCGAGAAGAAGAAGAAGAAAAACAAGAAGAAGAGCAGCAGCAACAGUGAGGUAACUGUAACACCGGCUUCGGCGUCACAGUAUCGUAGUUUCUUUCUAAAUGCGUUUCAAUCGGCCAAUGCCCUUCAGCUUUCUUCUAUCGAGCUCGAAUCAAUUAAAGAGACGAGCUUUCUGGAGUCAUCUCAAGAACUGGGUCAAGAAGUCGAGGACUUGGGGAAACAUGUGAAGGCUGCUUUUGGACCCUCAUGGAAACAAGUGCUCUGUGAAAGGCAGCUUGUGGACGGGAAGAUAGAACCAGGGAGUCCGGCUGUUCUUAUUAUUAGUACAUCGGCUUUGAGAUCUAUUGAACUUCUGAGGGGCGUGCGCUCCUUGACGAGAGAAUGCCAUGCUGUCAAGCUAUUCUCGAAGCAUAUGAAGGUCGAGGAACAGGUAACCUUAUUGAAGGAGCGUGUGAAUAUUGCUAGUGGCACACCAAGCAGGUACACAUCAUUGUUUCUUAUAAAGUAAUAUGAUGACAAUUAUGCUAGGAUAAUAGGCAGUUUCUUUUAUAACCAGUCUUAAUGUGUUGCUAUAUUGUAAAUCUCUGUUAAGUAUGCCUAUGAAGUUCUUUAGCAGCACUAAGUUUCUCCCUUGAUUAAUGAAGAGCUUUUGAUUCCAUGGUUAGCAAUUUAGCAGAGCAGUGAUGUUAAAUUUUUUAUUUAAAACUCCCCCCAAGAGAAACUAAGAGAGGAUCAAGCAAACAUGAGCCCCACCUUUUAUUCUUGUCUUCUUUUUCCCUGAUUUGAGUGUUUAAUUAUUUUCUUUUUAAUCAUUUUGAGAUUCCAACUUGGCAGUGUAUGCACAUCUUUCAACCUUUAUAUUUAGUUGACGUUUUUAAGUUCAGUUAUUUGAUAUGAUUUCUUGGGUUCAAGGGUCAAGAAGUUGAUUGACAUCGAGGCACUAGGACUUUCACGGUUAGCCAUGAUUGUGCUUGAUAUUCAUACAGAUGUUAAGGGCUAUUCAUUGUUAACACUUCCACAAGUCAGAGAUGAAUUCUGGGGCUUGUAUAAGAACUACUUCCACCAACGACUUUUGCGAGGUGAUCUCCAUAUCUGUCUCUUAGGUCCAUUACCAAAUGGCAAUGUAUGUCUCUUAGGUCCAUUACCAAAUGGCAAUGUAUCAAGGGGUAAAAGGAAGAAAGUUCCUGAUGAAUAAAUAACAGAUUGUGAUUUAAAUUUUAAAUUUUGAGUUUUAUAAAUAUAAUGUUCUGAUCUUUCUUAUAUUUCCAAAAACUCAUGAUGAAAUGCAAAUUUAGGUUUAUGUUCAGUUACUAUUUUUGCAUUAGCCAUUGUACUCUAUUGGAUGUGAGUUCAUGUACUGAAGAUUUGAGAAAGAAAGAGUUAAGGUACAUAUUGUCUCUUAAGAAAUAAAAAAGAAAAAAAU
rnacentral:misc_RNA from 1 species